GCCCAGGUGUUGGAACUGGUAGACAAGCUGGAUUUAGGUUCCAGUGUGCUUUGCACGUGCGAGUUCGAGUCUCGCCCUGGGCACCA
rnacentral:tRNA from 1 species